rnacentral:lncRNA from 1 species
AAAACGUGAUUAUCAUGAAUAAGCACAGUUGGUUAGCAGAGGCUUUCCAAGCUGGGAGUCCAUGGUGGCGGUGAGAGAACUUUGCCCAGAGAGGGGAGGCGCCACCCUCAGCUGCCCUGCCCAGCUAGCGCAGGCGGAACAUGCAGGAUUAAUGCGGUCCCAGCUCGGGCUGGAGGAAAUGAGGACAGGGGAUUCUGAUGACAGGCUGCUGUCACGGGGAGCUGGCUCUGCUCGGGGAACAGCACUGCUUGCCAAGUGUGGAGGCCUCACAGCAGCCGUCGUGGGGCUCAGAGUCCCAGCACCUCAGAUGACAGGAUGACAUCGCACUUUGUGAAGCUGGGAGUGGUAACCUCCUCCUGUUCGUGGACGUUCAGGCUGUUUUCCAUUUGGGACUAUUACAACGAAGGUGGCGUCACCUGUGUGACUAUUCCCUCAGAAUAGACUCUGAGUGUGAAAUCACCAAGUUAAAAUGUGUGAGGCCAGGUGCAGUGGCUCACGCCUGUAAUCCCAGCACUCUGGGAGGCCAAGGCAGGCAGAUCCCUUGAGGUCGGGAAUUCGAGACCAUCCUGGCCAACAUGGUGAAACCGCGUCCCUACUAAAAAUACAAAAAAAAUUAGCUGGGCGUGGUGGUGCAUACCUGUAAUCCCAGCUACUCCGGAGGCUGAGGCAGGAGAAUCACUUGAACCCGGGAGGCGGAGGUUGCGGUGAGCCAAGGUCGCACCACUGCACUCCAGCCUGGGUGAUAGAGCGAGACUCCAUCUCAAAAAAAAAAGAAAAGAAAUCGUGUGAGUGAGCUCCCC